AACGAACGCUGGCGGCAGGCCUAAAACAUGCAAGUCGAGCGGGCAUAGCAAUAUGUCAGCGGCGGACGGGUGAAUAACACGUGGGAACAUGCCCUUUGGUACGGAACAACUCAGGGAAACUUGAGCUAAUACCGUAUGUGCCGGUAACGGGAAAGAUUUAUCGCCAAAGGAUUGGCCCGCGUCCGAUUAGCUAGUUGGUGAGGUAACGGCUCACCAAGGCGACGAUCGGUAGCUGGUUUGAGAGAACGAUCAGCCACACUGGGACUGAGACACGGCCCAGACUCCUACGGGAGGCAGCAGUUGGGAAUCUUGGGACAA
rnacentral:rRNA from 1 species